AAUUGGGUAGAAAUCUAAGUGGGAUUAACUGUGGGGAAAACUCCAUAGUUAAGCGCACUUGAGCUAGAGGUGUCUUGGGAUGGGUGACCACUUGGGAAGUCUUGGUUACCGAGUGC
rnacentral:rRNA from 1 species